AACUGCGGUGGUGCAGUAUCCUAGUCAACCUGCUCAAUUCCCAGGAAGGGCCUAAAAAUCCUUUGAAGGGCACAUCGAUGAAGUUCCUGGUGCCGGCUUUGAACGCCCAGUUUGGGGUUGGUGCUGGGAGUUAAGGUUUAGGGGCAGCCUGCAAUGGCAUGCGGACCCUGUCCCCUUUUCCGCGGAGACCUGAUCUUGUGUCCGAAAAUGCCUUUUAGUAAAAGCGUUUUUCGAUACGACUCAGGGUUAAACCUGUUAUGCGGUACUGUUUGUGCUGUGAACAGAGUAGCCUGUCUUGAGUGGUUAUGGUGAAUAAUGGAUCAGACAUCGGUCUAUUGGCCAAUGGACCGGCGUUAUCGCUGUUUGAAACCAUGGCUGCAAAAGAGACUAAGAAUUGACGCAGUUGCGGAGGAAAACUCCUAGGCUGUUCGUAAGAGAUGGGUACAGGAUUGAAGUGCGUACUUAGUGGUAAUCCGGCUCUGCAAUUGGCGACAGUGCGGCCGGUGCUUUAAAGGGAAACCGUCGAAAUGGCGACAUUCGAUAGCACCGGGGGAAAUCCUGCCGGACCUAUGCCGCAGAUUUUACUGUAUUCAUUGCCACCUGUUAUGAA
rnacentral:sRNA from 1 species